rnacentral:rRNA from 1 species
GGGCCCGCACAAGCGGUGGAGCAUGUGGUUUAAUUCGAUGAUACGCGAGGAACCUUACCAGGGCUUAAAUGUAGUCUGACAGCUUUAGAGAUAGAGUUUUCUUCGGACAGAUUACAAGGUGCUGCAUGGUUGUCGUCAGCUCGUGCCGUGAGGUGUCAGGUUAAGUCCUAUAACGAGCGCAACCCCUUGUCGUUAGUUGCCAGCAAGUAAAGUUGGGGACUCUAGCGAGACUGCCGGUGCAAACCGAGAGAAGGUGGGGAUGACGUCAAAUCAUCACGGCCCCUUACGUCCUGGGCCACACACGUGCUACAAUGGUAUGGACAAUGAGCAGCCACUACGCGAGUAGGAGCGAAUCUAUAAACAUAUCAC